rnacentral:misc_RNA from 1 species
UCAAACUUGGUCAUUUAGAGGAAGUAAAAGUCGUAACAAGGUUUCCGUAGGUGAACCUGCGGAAGGAUCAUUACUGAAUUAACGGAGUUGUUGACGCUGGUUCUUCGGAGCAUGUGCUCGCAACUCCAAAUUCACCCUUACCACCUGUGCACUUUUGUAGACUACAAUGACUCUCAACGAGCAAUCGUUGGAUGGAGGGACUUGCGUUUAGCUGUCCUUCAAUGUUGUAGUCUAUUACAUCUCCAUAUACAAAGUCUUAGAAUGUCUCUUUUGUGGGUCUUUCGACCUAUAGAAACUUAUACAACUUUCAACAACGGAUCUCUUGGCUCUCGCAUCGAUGAAGAACGCAGC